UACGGAGGGAGCUAGCGUUAUUCGGAAUUACUGGGCGUAAAGCGCACGUAGGCGGCUUUGUAAGUUAGAGGUGAAAGCCUGGAGCUCAACUCCAGAAUUGCCUUUAAGACUGCAUCGCUCGAAUCCGGGAGAGGUGAGUGGAAUUCCGGGUGUAGAGGUGAAAUUCGUAGAGAUUCGGAGGAACACCAGUGGCGAAGGCGGCCCUCUGGACCGGAAUUGACGCUGAGGGUCGAAAGCGUGGGGAGCAAACAGG
rnacentral:rRNA from 1 species